CCUACGGGAGGCAGCAGUGGGGGAUAUUGGACAAUGGGGGGAACCCUGAUCCAGCGACGCCGCGUGAGUGAAGAAGUAUUUCGGUAUGUAAAGCUCUGUCAGCAGGGAAGAAAGAAAUGACGGUACCUGACCAAGAAGCCCCGGCUAACUACGUGCCAGCAGCCGCGGUAAUACGUAGGGGGCAAGCGUUAUCCGGAUUUACUGGGUGUAAAGGGAGCGUAGACGGCAGCACAAGUCUGGAGUGAAAUGCCGGGGCUUAACCCCGGAACUGCUUUGGAAACUGUGCAGCUAGAGUGCAGGAGAGGUAAGUGGAAUUCCUAGUGUAGCGGUGAAAUGCGUAGAUAUUAGGAGGAACACCAGUGGCGAAGGCGGCUUACUGGACUGUAACUGACGUUGAGGCUCGAAAGCGUGGGGAGCAAACAGGAUUAGAUACCCUUGUAGUC
rnacentral:rRNA from 1 species